UCGAACGAUGAAGCCCUUCGGGGUGGAUUAGUGGCGAACGGGUGAGUAACACGUGGGCAAUCUGCCCUGCACUCUGGGACAAGCCCUGGAAACGGGGUCUAAUACCGGAUAUGACACACGACCGCAUGGUCUGUGUGUGGAAAGCUCCGGCGGUGCAGGAUGAGCCCGCGGCCUAUCAGCUUGUUGGUGGGGUGAUGGCCUACCAAGGCGACGACGGGUAGCCGGCCUGAGAGGGCGACCGGCCACACUGGGACUGAGACACGGCCCAGACUCCUACGGGAGGCAGCAGUGGGGAAUAUUGCACAAUGGGCGAAAGCCUGAUGCAGCGACGCCGCGUGAGGGAUGACGGCCUUCGGGUUGUAAACCUCUUUCAGCAGGGAAGAAGCGCAAGUGACGGUACCUGCAGAAGAAGCACCGGCUAACUACGUGCCAGCAGCCGCGGUAAUACGUAGGGUGCAAGCGUUGUCCGGAAUUAUUGGGCGUAAAGAGCUCGUAGGCGGCCUGUCACGUCGGAUGUGAAAGCCCGGGGCUUAACCCCGGGUCUGCAUUCGAUACGGGCAGGCUAGAGUUCGGUAGGGGAGAUCGGAAUUCCUGGUGUAGCGGUGAAAUGCGCAGAUAUCAGGAGGAACACCGGUGGCGAAGGCGGAUCUCUGGGCCGAUACUGACGCUGAGGAGCGAAAGCGUGGGGAGCGAACAGGAUUAGAUACCCUGGUAGUCCACGCCGUAAACGUUGGGAACUAGGUGUGGGCGACAUUCCACGUCGUCCGUGCCGCAGCUAACGCAUUAAGUUCCCCGCCUGGGGAGUACGGCCGCAAGGCUAAAACUCAAAGGAAUUGACGG
rnacentral:rRNA from 1 species